GACGAACGCUGGCGGCGUGCUUAACACAUGCAAGUCGAACGGAAAGGCCCUGCUUUUGUGGGGUGCUCGAGUGGCGAACGGGUGAGUAACACGUGAGUAACCUGCCCUUGACUUUGGGAUAACUUCAGGAAACUGGGGCUAAUACCGGAUAGGAGCUCCUGCUGCAUGGUGGGGGUUGGAAAGUUUCGGCGGUUGGGGAUGGACUCGCGGCUUAUCAGCUUGUUGGUGGGGUAGUGGAUUACCAAGGCUUUGACGGGUAGCCGGCCUGGGAGGGUGACCGGCCACAUUGGGACUGCGGUACGGCCCAGACUCCUACGGGAGGCAGCAGUGGGGAAUAUUGCACAAUGGGCGGAAGCCUGAUGCAGCAACUCCGCGUGCGGGAUGACGGCCUUCGGGUUGUAAACCGCUUUCGCCUGUGACGAAGCGUGAGUGACGGUAAUGGGUAAAGAAGCACCGGCUAACUACGUG
rnacentral:rRNA from 1 species